rnacentral:rRNA from 1 species
GUCAAAAAAAAGAAGGCUCACGACGGAGACCUAGGCUCUCAGAGACGAUGAAAGGCGCGAUACCGGCGAUAUGCUUUGGGGAGUAGGAAGAAUGCAUUGAUCCAAAGAUUCCUGAAUAGGGCAACCUGUCCGACUAUCUAUGAAUUCAUAAAUAGAUUAGAGGCAACCUGGUGAACUGAAACAUCUCAGUAGCCAGAGGAAAAGAAAGCAAAAGCGAUUCCCGUAGUAGCGGCGAGCGAACUGGGACCAGCCUAAACCAAUUUUAUUGGGGUUGUGGGAAGACAAAAAAAAUAUAAAGAAACUUGUAAACAAAGUUUACUUCUUCUUCGCUCCGCGAACGAAGAAGCGAAAGAUGCAAAAGAAAGACGAAGCAGCUGAAUCCUGCACCAUAGAUGGUGAAAGUCCAGUAGUCAUAUUCAAUCUUUAUUUUAAUGUCUAUCCCGAGUAGCAUGGGGCACGUGGAAUCCCGUGUGAAUCUGCGAGGACCACCUCGUAAGGCUAAACACUCCUGAGAGACCGAUAGCGAAAUAGUACAGCGAUGGAAAGGUGAAAAGAACCCCCGUCGGGGAGUGAAACAGAACAUGAAAUCGUGAGCUGACAAGCAGUGGGAGGAUUUCUUUUAAAAUCUGACCUCGUGCCUGUUGAAGAAUGAGCCGGCGACUUAUAGGAAGUGGCAGGUUAAAGAGUAAUAUCUGGAGCCUAAGCGAAAGCGAGUCUGAAUAGGGCAAAAGUCACUUCUUAUGGACCCGAACCUGGAUGAUCUAACCAUGAGCAAGCUGAAGCUUAGGUAACACUUAGUGGAGGGCUGAACGGACCGAUGUUGAAAAAUCGGCCGAUGACUUGUGGUUAGCGGAGAAAUUCCAAUCGAAUUCAGAGCUAGCUGGUUCUCCCCGAAAUGCGUUGAGGCGCAGCGGCAAUGAUGGGCAGUCUAAGGGUAGAGCGACUGUUUCGGUGCGGGCUGCGAAAGCGGUACCAAGUCGUGGCAAACUCCGAAUAUUAGACAUGCUUUCCAUGUGCCAGUGAGACAGUGAGAGAAAAGUUUCAUUGUCAAGAGGGAAACAGCCCAGAUCAUCAGCUAAGGCCCCUAAAUGACUCCUAAGUGGAAAAGGAUGUGAGAAUGCUGAAACAACCAGGAAAUUUGCUUAGAAGCAGCCAUUUUUUAAAGAGUGCGUAAUAGCUCACUGGUAAAGCGUUUUUGCGCCGACAAUGGCCGGGACUAAGGAGUCUGCCGAAGCUAUGAGAUUUUUUGUUUCUUUUAAUUCUUAUAAAAUAAAAUACUUGCUCAUCGCUCGGUGCGCUUGCUUCUUCGGCUCUUCGCUCUUCCGCUCCUCGGUGCGCUUGCGCGACCUUCGUUCGCGGAGCGAAGCGCAAGCGCACCGAGGAGCGGAGCGGAGAACCGAAGGAGCGAAGACCGAAGCGAAGCGGAGCGAUAACAAAGUUUACAAGCAAAAGAAAGAAUAAAAAUCGGUAGGGGAGCGUUCAGCAUUGGGUGAAGCUUUGACGUAAGUUUGAGUGGACGAUGCUGAAGUGAGAAUGUCGGCUUGAGUAACGAAAACAUUGGUGAGAAUCCAAUGCCCCGAAAACCUAAGGGUUCCUUUACAAGGUUCGUCCAUGAAGGGUGAGUCAGGACCUAAGGCGAGGCCGACAGGCGUAGUCGAUGGCAAACAGGUUGAUAUUCCUGUACUUUUUUGAGGGGGAACCGAGGGACGAAGUCGGCUAAAUUGAGUCUGUGAAUGGAAUGCAGUGGAAAUGUCCAAGUUCGCAAAGCGAACAAACAGAUCGAAGAAAAACGAAUCUGUAGCUAAGGCAUGAUCCCACUCUCCUGAACUUGUUUGGGCAGAGUGUCAAUGAUGUCAUACUUCCAAGAAAAGCUCGUACACCAUCUUAUUGCUUUGCGAUAAGAUUAAACCUUCAAAAAACCUGUACCUUAAACCGACACAGGUAGGUUGGUAGAGAAUACUAAGGGGCGCAAGAGAACUCUCUCUAAGGAACUCGGCAAAUUGGCCCCGUAACUUCGGGAGAAGGGGCGCCCCUGACAUUGUCAGGGGCCACAGUAUAAAGAUUCUGGCAACUGUUUACCAAAAACACAGGUCUCCGCAAAGUCGUAAGACAAUAUAUGGGGGCUGACGCCUGCCCAGUGCCGGAAGGUGAAGGAAGUUGGUUAUUUAGGCCUUGUGCCUGGAGAAGCUGACAACCGAAGCCCCGGUGAACGGCAGCUGUAACUAUGACAGUUCUAAGGUAGCGAAAUUCAUUGUCGAGUAAGUUUCGACCUGCACGAAAGGCGUAAUGAUCAGAAUACUGUCUCAGAGAGAGGCUUGGUGAAAUAGACUUAUCCGUGAAGAUGCGGAUUAACAACAUUUGGACAGAAAGACCCUAUGAAGCUUGACUGUAUCCUGGAAUUGGGUUCGGGCUUUUCUUGCGCAGUCUAGGUGGGAGGCAUUGAAGAUUUCUUUCCGGAGAGAUUGGAGCCAUCAGUGAGAGACCACUCUGGAAAGGCUAGAAUCCUAAGAGUGAUCCCUAAUCGGGACAUUUGACGUUUUCAGGAGGGCAGUUUUUUUGGGGCGAAAGUCCUCCUAAAAGGUAACGGAGGCGCGCAAAGGUUUCCUCAGUCUGGACGGAAAUCAGACGUUACAGAGUGUAAAGGCAAAAGGAAGCUUGACUGCAAGACCUACAAGUCGAGCAGGGGCGAAAGCCGGCCUUAGUGAUCCGACGGUAUCCGCGUGGAAGGGCCGUCGCUCAACGGAUAAAAGUUACUCUAGGGAUAACAGGCUGAUCUUCUCCAAGAGUUCACAUCGACGAGAAGGUUUGGCACCUCGAUGUCGGCUCAUCACAUCCUGGGGCUGUAGUAGGUCCCAAGGGUUGGGCUGUUCGCCCAUUAAAGUGGUACGUGAGCUGGGUUCAAAACGUCGUAAGACAGUUUGGUCCAUAUCCGAUGUUGUCGUUAGAGCGCUGAGGGGAUCCUUAAAUAGUACGAGAGGAUUUUUAAGGUCGUGCCUAUGGUGUAUCAGUUCUCUCUCCAGAGGGAAACGCUGAGUAGCUACGCACGGUUUAGAUAACCGCUGAAAGCAUCUAAGUGGGAAGCUUUCCUCAAGAUGAGCGCUCUCCAUUAUGCCACAGCUAGACAAGCUGAUGAUAGGUAUCAGGUGAAAGGUCUGCAAGGAUUUGAGCCGAGAUAUACUAAAGGCCAAUUGAUUUUGACC